AAGUCGUAACAAGGUUUCCGUAGGUGAACCUGCGGAAGGAUCAUUAUCACGUAUCCACGUAUCAACCAAUGUGAACUAGUUUUAUUGACCUUUGGAUUGGGCAAGGUAGCGUUGUAUGAAACCGUUAUUCAAACAACAAAUUUGAUUGGAAAGUUGUUGAGGUUUCGUACAAUCAAACAAGUUUUAAUUUAAUUUGUUUACUUGUCUGAUUCAGAGUGUAUUUCUUUUUUCCAAUCUAUUACUUAUUAACCAUUUAAACCCAAAAUUUCUAUAAAUUUUGAACUGAUUUAAUUUCUUACUCUUUUCUUUCUAAAGAGAGAGAGAGAAGAAAUAAAUGAUUACGAAACAUAAGAACAACUCUUAGCAACGGAUAUCUUGGUUCUC
rnacentral:misc_RNA from 1 species